rnacentral:rRNA from 1 species
UACGUAGGGUCCGAGCGUUGUCCGGAGUUACUGGGCGUAAAGCGCGCGCAGGCGCCUGGCAAGCAUGGCGUGAAAGCCCCCGGCUCAACCGGGGAGAGUCGUCGUGGACUGCCGGGCUUGAGGGCGGCAGGGGCUGGUGGAAUUCCCGGUGUAGUGGUGAAAUGCGUAGAGAGUCGGGAGGAACACCCGUGGCGAAGGCGGCCAGCUGGGCCGGCCCUGACGCUGAGGCGCGAAGGCGUGGGGAGCGAACAGG